rnacentral:rRNA from 1 species
ACACUCCUACGGGAGGCAGCAGUGGGGAAUAUUGCACAAUGGGCGCAAGCCUGAUGCAGCCAUGCCGCGUGUAUGAAGAAGGCCUUCGGGUUGUAAAGUACUUUCAGCGGGGAGGAAGGCGAUAAGGUUAAUAACCUUGUCGAUUGACGUUACCCGCAGAAGAAGCACCGGCUAACUCCGUGCCAGCAGCCGCGGUAAUACGGAGGGUGCAAGCGUUAAUCGGAAUUACUGGGCGUAAAGCGCACGCAGGCGGUCUGUCAAGUCGUAUGUGAAAUCCCCGGGCUCAACCUGGGAACUGCAUUCGAAACUGGCAGGCUAGAGUCUUGUAGAGGGGGGUAGAAUUCCAGGUGUAGCGGUGAAAUGCGUAGAGAUCUGGAGGAAUACCGGUGGCGAAGGCGGCCCCCUGGACAAAGACUGACGCUCAGGUGCGAAAGCGUGGGGAGCAAACAGGAUUAGAAACCCGAGUAGUCCC